rnacentral:rRNA from 1 species
UGAAUAGGAGACGCUAAGGCGUCGAAGUAGUGUAUGUCAGACUUCCAAGAAAAGCUCGCACUGUCAUAGGUAAAAAAUGCCUGUACCAUAACCGACACAGGUGGGUAGGUAGAGUAUACUAAGGGGCGCGAGAUAACUCUCUCUAAGGAACUCGGCAAAAUGACUCCGUAACUUCGGGAGAAGGAGUGCCUUAUUUAUAAGGUUGCAAUAACAAGAUCCAAGCAACUGUUUACCAAAAACACAGGUCUCCGCUAAGUCGUAAGACGAUGUAUGGGGGCUGACGCCUGCCCAGUGCCAGAAGGUUAAAGAAGUUGGUUAGCAUUCGCGAAGCUGAUAACUGAAGCCCUGGUGAACGGUGGCCGUAACUAUAACGGUCCUAAGGUAGCGAAAUUCCUUGUCGGGUAAGUUCCGACCCGCACGAAAGGCGUAAUGAUUUGGAUACUGUCUCGGAGAGAGGCUCGGUGAAAUAGACUUGUCUGUGAAGAUGCGGACUACCUGCACCUGGACAGAAAGACCCUAUGAAGCUUUACUGUAACUUGAAAUUGAAAUUGGACUUUAGUCGCGCAGCAUAGGUGGGAGGCGUUGAGACGAUUCUUGCGGGAAUCGAGGAGCCAUCAGUGAGAUACCACUCUUCUAAUGUUAGAUUUCUAACCUUGUACCAUUAUCUGGUCAAGGAACAGUUUCAGGCGGGCAGUUUGACUGGGGCGGUCGCCUCCCAAAUGGUAACGGAGGCGUACAAAGGUUUCCUCUGAACGGAUAGAAAUCGUAUCUAGAGUAUAAAGGCAUAAGGAAGCUUGACUGUGAGACCUACAAGUCGAGCAGGGACGAAAGUCGGUCUUAGUGAUCUGACGGUACUGAGUGGAAAGGCCGUCACUCGACGGAUAAAAGUUACUCUAGGAUAACAGGCUGAUCUCCCCCAAGAGUUCACAUCGACGGGGAGGUUUGGCACCUCGAUGUCGGCUCAUCGCAUCCUGGGGCGGUAGUACGUCCCAAGGGUUGGGCUGUUCGCCCAUGAAAGCGGUACGCGAGCUGGGUUCAGAACGUCGUGAGACAGUUCGGUCCAUAUCCGGUGUAGGCGUUAGAAUAUUGAGAGGAGCCUUCUUUAGUACGAGAGGACCGAGAAGGACAUACCUCUGGUGUACCAGUUAUCGUGCCAACGGUAAACGCUGGGUAGCUAUGUAUGGAGUGGAUAACCGCUGAAAGCAUCUAAGUGGGAAGCCCACCUCAAGAUGAGUAUUCUCAUCACGUAAGUGAAUAAGGUCACGGUAAGACUAACCGUUUGAUAGGCAUUAAGUGUAAGCGCAGUAAUGCGUGUGCUGAGAUGUGCUAACAGACCGAGGACUUGAA